AGAGUUUGAUCCUGGCUCAGGAUGAACGCUGGCGGCGUGCCUAAUACAUGCAAGUCGAGCGAACAGAUAAGGAGCUUGCUCCUUUGACGUUAGCGGCGGACGGGUGAGUAACACGUGGGUAACCUACCUAUAAGACUGGGAUAACUUCGGGAAACCGGAGCUAAUACCGGAUAAUAUUUCGAACCGCAUGGUUCGAUAGUGAAAGAUGGUUUUGCUAUCACUUAUAGAUGGACCCGCGCCGUAUUAGCUAGUUGGUAAGGUAACGGCUUACCAAGGCGACGAUACGUAGCCGACCUGAGAGGGUGAUCGGCCACACUGGAACUGAGACACGGUCCAGACUCCUACGGGAGGCAGCAGUAGGGAAUCUUCCGCAAUGGGCGAAAGCCUGACGGAGCAACGCCGCGUGAGUGAUGAAGGUCUUCGGAUCGUAAAACUCUGUUAUUAGGGAAGAACAUACGUGUAAGUAACUGUGCACGUCUUGACGGUACCUAAUCAGAAAGCCACGGCUAACUACGUGCCAGCAGCCGCGGUAAUACGUAGGUGGCAAGCGUUAUCCGGAAUUAUUGGGCGUAAAGCGCGCGUAGGCGGUUUUUUAAGUCUGAUGUGAAAGCCCACGGCUCAACCGUGGAGGGUCAUUGGAAACUGGAAAACUUGAGUGCAGAAGAGGAAAGUGGAAUUCCAUGUGUAGCGGUGAAAUGCGCAGAGAUAUGGAGGAACACCAGUGGCGAAGGCGACUUUCUGGUCUGUAACUGACGCUGAUGUGCGAAAGCGUGGGGAUCAAACAGGAUUAGAUACCCUGGUAGUCCACGCCGUAAACGAUGAGUGCUAAGUGUUAGGGGGUUUCCGCCCCUUAGUGCUGCAGCUAACGCAUUAAGCACUCCGCCUGGGGAGUACGACCGCAAGGUUGAAACUCAAAGGAAUUGACGGGGACCCGCACAAGCGGUGGAGCAUGUGGUUUAAUUCGAAGCAACGCGAAGAACCUUACCAAAUCUUGACAUCCUUUGACAACUCUAGAGAUAGAGUUUUCCCCUUCGGGGGACAAAGUGACAGGUGGUGCAUGGUUGUCGUCAGCUCGUGUCGUGAGAUGUUGGGUUAAGUCCCGCAACGAGCGCAACCCUUAAGCUUAGUUGCCAUCAUUAAGUUGGGCACUCUAAGUUGACUGCCGGUGACAAACCGGAGGAAGGUGGGGAUGACGUCAAAUCAUCAUGCCCCUUAUGAUUUGGGCUACACACGUGCUACAAUGGACAAUACAAAGGGCAGCGAAACCGCGAGGUCAAGCAAAUCCCAUAAAGUUGUUCUCAGUUCGGAUUGUAGUCUGCAACUCGACUACAUGAAGCUGGAAUCGCUAGUAAUCGUAGAUCAGCAUGCUACGGUGAAUACGUUCCCGGGUCUUGUACACACCGCCCGUCACACCACGAGAGUUUGUAACACCCGAAGCCGGUGGAGUAACCAUUUGGAGCUAGCCGUCGAAGGUGGGACAAAUGAUUGGGGUGAAGUCGUAACAAGGUAACC
rnacentral:rRNA from 1 species